rnacentral:rRNA from 1 species
GCGGCGUGCUUAACACAUGCAAGUCGAACGGAAAGGCCCUGCUUUUGUGGGGUGCUCGAGUGGCGAACGGGUGAGUAACACGUGAGUAACCUGCCCUUGACUUUGGGAUAACUUCAGGAAACUGGGGCUAAUACCGGAUAGGAGCUCCUGCUGCAUGGUGGGGGUUGGAAAGUUUCGGCGGUUGGGGAUGGACUCGCGGCUUAUCAGCUUGUUGGUGGGGUAGUGGCUUACCAAGGCUUUGACGGGUAGCCGGCCUGAGAGGGUGACCGGCCACAUUGGGACUGAGAUACGGCCCAGACUCCUACGGGAGGCAGCAGUGGGGAAUAUUGCACAAUGGGCGGAAGCCUGAUGCAGCAACGCCGCGUGCGGGAUGACGGCCUUCGGGUUGUAAACCGCUUUCGCCUGUGACGAAGCGUGAGUGACGGUAAUGGGUAAAGAAGCACCGGCUAACUACGUGCCAGCAGCCGCGGUGAUACGUAGGGUGCGAGCGUUGUCCGGAUUUAUUGGGCGUAAAGGGCUCGUAGGUGGUUGAUCGCGUCGGAAGUGUAAUCUUGGGGCUUAACCCUGAGCGUGCUUUCGAUACGGGUUGACUUGAGGAAGGUAGGGGAGAAUGGAAUUCCUGGUGGAGCGGUGGAAUGCGCAGAUAUCAGGAGGAACACCAGUGGCGAAGGCGGUUCUCUGGGCCUUUCCUGACGCUGAGGAGCGAAAGCGUGGGGAGCGAACAGGCUUAGAUACCCUGGUAGUCCACGCUGUAAACGGUGGGUACUAGGUGUGGGGUCCAUUCCACGGGUUCCGUGCCGUAGCUAACGCUUUAAGUACCCCGCCUGGGGAGUACGGCCGCAAGGCUAAAACUCAAAGGAAUUGACGGGGCCCCGCACAAGCGGCGGAGCAUGCGGAUUAAUUCGAUGCAACGCGUAGAACCUUACCUGGGUUUGACAUGGAUCGGGAGUGCUCAGAGAUGGGUGUGCCUCUUUUGGGGUCGGUUCACAGGUGGUGCAUGCCUGUCGUCAGCUCGUGUCGUGAGAUGUUGGGUUAAGUCCCGCAACGAGCGCAACCCUUGUUCACUGUUGCCAGCACGUUAUGGUGGGGACUCAGUGGAGACCGCCGGGGUCAACUCGGAGGAGGGUGGGGAUGACGUCAAGUCCUCAUGCCCCUUAUGUCCAGGGCUUCACGCAUGCUACAAUGGCUGGUACAGAGAGUGGCGAGCCUGUGAGGGUGAGCGAAUCUCGGAAAGCCGGUCUCAGUUCGGAUUGGGGUCUGCAACUCGACCUCAUGAAGUCGGAGUCGCUAGUAAUCGCAGAUCAGCAACGCUGCGGUGAAUACGUUCCCGGGGCUUGUACACACCGCCCGUCAAGUCAUGAAAGUUGGUAACACCCGAAGCCGGUGGCCUAACCGUUGUGGGGGAGCCGUCGAAGGUGGGACUGGUGAUUAGG